UGGGGAAUUUUGCACAAUGGGGGAAACCCUGAUGCAGCGACGCCGCGUGAUUUAGAAGGCCUUCGGGUUGUAAAAAUCUUUUCUAUGGGAAGAAAAUGACAGUACCAUAGGAAUAAGGACCGGCUAAUUACGUGCCAGCAGCCGCGGUAAUACGUAAGGUCCGAGCGUUGUCCGGAAUCAUUGGGCGUAAAGGGUACGUAGGCGGGUAAGCAAGUUAGAAGUGAAAUCCUAUAGCUCAACUAUAGUAAGCUUUUAAAACUGCUCAUCUUGAGGUAUGGAAGGGAAAGUGGAAUUCCUAGUGUAGCGGUGAAAUGCACAGAUAUUAGGAGGAAUACCGGUGGCGAAGGCGACUUUCUGGCCAUAACCUGACGCUGAGGUACGACAGCGUGGGUAGCAAACAGG
rnacentral:rRNA from 1 species